GAGUCGCAGCCGGGAGGACGGAGGCGUCCGCGGUCUCUCCUGUUGCAGUGAGAGUGGCGCGCGCGAGCGGUGCCCUGAGUCCACAGCCGUGGAGGAGCUGAGCCCCGGGAGGGGGAGCUGCCGAAAAUACCUGUCCAGAGCUUUCGGAAUUACUGGUGGUGAUACAGGCGCUGAAGACCAGGAGAAUCACCUGCGGAGCUGCUGUGCAUAUGGGCUGCUAACUUUCUGGUUUAUCGCUUAGGUUUAUGAUUGCCCCCUUCUUAGAAAUGCCCUUUGCUAAUGGGAUCCACCUCCCUAGAGAAUUACACAGGCGGUUACGCUCAUCCCCAACAGUCGUGCGCCCAGGGAUCGAGUAUAACAGACUCAUCAACUGUUGAUGCUCCAGAGCUCCUUGUGGGACCAGGCCCAGGCUGGACCCCCAAUCAAACCCAGCUUUCCCCCGAGAGCACACUCCCUCAAUAAAUCCCUUGCACAAAAAUCCCAAUUCAGUCUCAGCUUUUUUUUUUUUAAUAUAUUUUAAUUUUUUUUUAA